rnacentral:rRNA from 1 species
UACACUCCUACGGGAGGCAGCAGUGGGGAAUAUUGCACAAUGGGCGCAAGCCUGAUGCAGCCAUGCCGCGUGUAUGAAGAAGGCCUUCGGGUUGUAAAGUACUUUCAGCGGGGAGGAAGGCGAUAAGGUUAAUAACCUUGUUGAUUGACGUUACCCGCAGAAGAAGCACCGGCUAACUCCGUGCCAGCAGCCGCGGUAAUACGGAGGGUGCAAGCGUUAAUCGGAAUUACUGGGCGUAAAGCGCACGCAGGCGGUCUGUCAAGUCGGAUGUGAAAUCCCCGGGCUCAACCUGGGAACUGCAUUCGAAACUGGCAGGCUAGAGUCUUGUAGAGGGGGGUAGAAUUCCAGGUGUAGCGGUGAAAUGCGUAGAGAUCUGGAGGAAUACCGGUGGCGAAGGCGGCCCCCUGGACAAAGACUGACGCUCAGGUGCGAAAGCGUGGGGAGCAAACAGGAUUAGAUACCCCAGUAGUCCC